GACGAACGCUGGCGGCGUGCUUAACACAUGCAAGUCGAACGGAAAGGCCCUGCUUUUGUUGGGUUCUCGAGUGGCGAACGGGGGAGUAACACGUGAGUAACCUGCCCUUGUCUGUGGGAUAACUUCAGGAAACUGGGUCUAAUACCGGAUAGGAGCUCCUGCUGCAUGGUGGUGGUUGGAAAGUUUCGGCGGUUGGGGAUGGACUCGCGGCUUAUCAGCUUGUUGGUGGGGUAGUUGCUUACCAAGGCUUUGACGGGUAGCCGGCCUGAGAGGGUGACCGGCCACAUUGGGACUGAGAAACGGCCCAGACUCCUACGGGCGGCAGCAGUGGGGAAUAUUGCACACUGGGCGGAAGCCUGAUGCAGCAACGCCGCGUGCGAGAUGACGGCCUUCGGGUUGUAAACCGCUUUCGCCUGUGACGAAGCGUGAGUGACGGUAAUGGGUAAAGAAGCACCGGCUAACUACGUG
rnacentral:rRNA from 1 species